rnacentral:rRNA from 1 species
CCUACGGGCGGCAGCAGUAGGGAAUCUUCCACAAUGGGCGAAAGCCUGAUGGAGCAACGCCGCGUGGGUGAAGAAGGUCUUCGGAUCGUAAAACCCUGUUGUUAGAGAAGAAAGUGCGUGAGAGUAACUGUUCACGUUUCGACGGUAUCUAACCAGAAAGCCACGGCUAACUACGUGCCAGCAGCCGAGGUAAUACGUAGGUGGCAAGCGUUAUCCGGAUUUGUUGGGUGUAAAGGGAACGCAGGCGGUCUUUUAAGUCUGAUGUGAAAGCCUUCGGCUUAACCGGAGUAGUGCAUUGGAAACUGGGAGACUUGAGUGCAGAAGAGGAGAGUGGAACUCCAUGUGUAGCGGUGAAAUGCGUAGAUAUAUGGAAGAACACCAGUGGCGAAAGCGGCUCUCUGGUCUGUAACUGACGCUGAGGUUCGAAAGCGUGGGUAGCAAACAGGAUUAGAUACCCUUGUAGUC